rnacentral:lncRNA from 1 species
CAGCGGUAAAGAUUGAGGAUGUUGUAGGUUGCCGGCGGAUCUGGCCUUGCGAGAUUUGCAGGCAAUUGCCCCGCCCGGUUUCCUU